UUUUUUUUUUUUUUUCUUCCUUAGGCUCUUACCUGCAGCAUAUGGAAGUCCCCAGACUAGGGGUCUAAUUUGAGCUGCAGCAGCCAGUCUACACCACAGACACAGCAACACCGAAUCUGAACACUGCACUUUGAGGCAACGACAGAUCCUUAACCCACUGAGUGAGGCCGGGGAUCGAACGUGCAUCCUUACAGAUGCUAGUCAGGCUCUUCACCUACUGGGCCACAACAGGAACUCCAAAUGCCAGAUACUUUUAAUAUCUUUUAUCAUUCUUUAACUUUAGCUCAAACAAAAUUAAAAUGCAGAUUUUACUGUCCCAUCUUGCAAAUGGAAAAAUCAAGGCCAAGUACAGGGUAGUGGUCAGGAUAUCAUCUCUAGAGUCAAAUGACUGGGGUUUGGUUCUCAGAAUACUUGUAACCACAGGCACCUUGGUCAUCUCUUCUACAAGAUGGGCUAAGAACAGUACUUGCUUUAAUAAAUGAGUGUAUGUAAGACACUUGACAAUGUCCCUGGGCUAGAGUGAGCCCUUAAUGAAUAGGAGCCGUCAUUAUUAAGCCAUUAUUAUUUACCCAAACCCCACAGGAAGAGUCUGACUCCAACGUUGCACUCUUUCCAAAGAAAUACUGUUUGUGUCCAUGAAAACUGUUGUUGUGACAUAUUAACAAGUUUAAAUAACAUAAGUUAAACAGAGCUAGAGACAACUCAGAGAGGCCUCCCCCACCUGCCAUGAUCUCAAGGCAGAAGAGCCAUGGAUGAGCAGAUGUUUGCUGAAUGGCUUUCUUAGGUUCUCUCUUUUUUUCGCAAGUCCCAGGUGAUUGAGACCCCCCCUCUGAUGUCAUCUCAUUCCAUUAUGUUAAACUGAGUAACCAAGAGUCUUCGGAGUAGAAUCUAUAUUGCACUGGCUCUGUAACUUUAAGAAUAUCAAAGCAAAACAAGACUCCUGAACAAGAAAGGAUUAUAAACGUCUCUUUCAGCUCUCUCUGUAAUAUCAGUUGUCAAAGAGAUAAAGACAUCAAUGAACAGGUCAACUGACAAACACAGUGUGGUAUACACAGUACCAUGGAAUAUUUUUCAGUCUUAAAAAGGAAGGAAAUUCUGACACAAGCUACAACCUGGAUGAACUGUGAAGACAUAAUGUUAAGUGAAAUAAGCCAGUCACAAAGAGACACAUACUGAAUGAUUUCAUGUAUUUGAGGGACUUAGUCAAAUUCAUUGAGAUAGAAGACAGAAUGGCGGUUGCCAGGGGUUGGGGGAGGAGGGAAUGGAAAAUUAGUGUUUAAUAGGCACACAUUUUUAGUUUUGCAAGAUGAAAAAAGUUCUGUGGAUGGUUGGGAUGAUGGUAGCACAACAAGGGGGAUGUACUUUGCGCCACUGAACUGGCUACUAAAAGGUAGUUGAGAUGGUAAAUUCCAGAGUUGAGAAUUUUUUAAAAGAGAGAGUAUAUGAAAUUUGGAUGAGACCAAGACAGUACAACAGGAAUAAAACAUAAAACAUUUCUGAGUUUCUUCUUCUAAGACAGACUUGGAAUGGAUCGUGGAUGAGUCAGCCUGGUGGAUGCUCAGAGAUCAAUAAAUUCUAAGAUUCUCCAAGCCUUUUAUUUCUCUGUAAUGCUAAGAUCCAUAGGUCUGGGGUGAACUCCAGAAAGUACUACACCUGUCACUGGGGGCUGGAAGAGAAACCAGAUAAUCAGUUGCUGAGGAUACUAUAAAUGGAGGGUCUUCUAAGGGAGUACUGAUAUGAAAACUUCAGGUUGCUAAAUAGAGAAGGCAGAUAAGGAGGGGUCAGCUUCAACUGGCCAUUCAUUGAAGGCCUCUGUGUGCCUUGUACUGACAUGGGCAUUAUUGGGAAACAAAACUAUAAGGUAGAGUUCUGGACCGAAGGAGCUACCCUCAGGUCAGAAGACAUGAUGAUUUCAUAUAAUCAGGAUCCAAUUCAUUGCCAAGUUGUGUGGAUUUAUUAUAAAUUUCAUAAGAGAUUAGGAUAUGUGGGGGUUUAUAUUAUGUCAACUUGGCUAGACUAGAAAUGUGUUUCCCAGAAUCCUCUUUCCUGGGUGGUUCCAAGUUAGCAUUGGUCAUAAGUGAAAUCUGCAACAUUUGGAAGCAGCCAUUAUGAUCUGAAGGUCUUGGUGGACCAGCAGCAUAUGCUGGUACAUCUAACUCAUGUUGUCACUGAUCUACUGGCUCUCGUUGUCGGAGGGGGUAGCAGCUCCUCCAGGUCCCACUGCAUCUCCUCCUCCACCAUCCCUUAGUUCCAGGACAUGCGCAGCUCUGGGACAAAGAGCACCCUCUUCUAAAUAUAGAUGCAAAAAUCAUCAACAAAUACCAACAAGCCACACUUAACAAUAUGUAAAAGAAUUAAUAAGCAUCAUGACCAAGUAGAAUCCAUCACAAGAAUACAAGGCUGGUUAAAUAAAUGAAAAUCAAUUAAAGCAAUAUACCAUAUAAAUAAAAUACAGGCAAAAACCAUAUUAUCAUCUCAAUAGAAACAAAAAAAUCGAACAAAAACUCAACUCUCUUUCAUGAUAAAAAAAAUAUUAAACUAGAAUUAAAAAGAAACUUCUUCAACAUAAUACACAACAUCUAAGUAAAGAAUUGGUAUUUAUUCUUUUUUGGGGGGAAUUAUGACUCCUUUUUAUUAAAGUAUAGUUAUAUCUUAUUUUAUUUUAUUUUAUUUCAUUUCAUUUUAUUUCAUUUUAUUGUGUGUCUUUUUAGGGCCACACCCACAGCAUAUGGAAGUUCCCAGGCUAGGGCUCGAAUUGGAGCUGCAGCUGCCAGCCUGCACCACAGCCUCAGCAACUUGGAAUCCACGUUGUGUCUGUGACCUACACUGCAGCUCACAACAAUUCUGGAUCCUUAGCCCACUGAGCAAGGCCAGGGAUCAAAGCCGUGUUCUCAUGGAUACCAGUUGGGUUCAUUAACUGCUGAGCCACGACGGGAAUUCCUAAAGAAUAGGGUUUUUUUGGUUUUUUGGGUUUUUUUUUUUAAAAAAGAGAGGGAGUUUCCGUCAUGGCGCAGUGGUUAACGAAUCCGACUAGGAACCAUGAGGUUGCGGGUUCAGUCCCUGCCCUUGCUCAGUGGGUUAACGAUCCGGCGUUGCCUCUGUCUUUGUAGGUACCAAAUUGUCCUCACUCAACUCCACUCCACAUCCAGCUUUUCUUCUCAACUGCGGGCCUUGCUGACCUAGAACAACUUCAAGGCCAGCACCAGAAGUAGGAGCAAGUCUUACACAGACUUUAUCACCACCCCCUGCAGGUGUGUAAGGUCUAACACCUGUGUUGCACCCCUUGUUCCCUCACUUAUGGUGGUUCUGCUGCCCUGAUGGGACCAUAACUGACAGAGCAUGGAACAGUACAGUCAGGCAAAAGAAGUUUCCAUGUGAGCUCAGCCUCGAAAGCUUAGAUUUUUAAGUCAUCAACAUGCUAACUGCUUUCCAGUGUUCUUGUCCAAACAACACUCAUCCAUGCCUGUGGGGUGGACUUUGUUCCAUCACAGGCCAAUGUUAUUUCCAUCUUAGUUCAUACCAAUCCCUAAGAUACAUUCCAGAGCCAGUCCCAGGUAAUAUUUUUUACAAUCUGCCCGAUGCCCAUAGCUUUAUGAUUGCUAAACGCCAGCAAAGGCUAUAAAACUCACCAGAAGUAAAGGGGGGGAGAGUUUAAAGCAAUUAUAUUCAUCCAGUUUAGUGCAAUCACUAAACUAGUGAUUUGGGCUUUGGAAUCCUGGCUCUACACUUUCUAAUCACCGGGCUUUAGCCAAGUUGCUUAAAUUUUCCUUGUCUGUAAAAUAGGAGGAUAAUAUCUUCAUUAUUAGGUUUCUGCGAAAAUAAAAUUUAAAAAUGUGUGUCGAUGGAGGAUAAUGUGAAAAAAAGUAUGUAUAUAAAAGUAGGCGUUCCUUUCAUGGCUCAGCGGUUAUCGAUCCCAACUAGGAUCCGAUCCCUGGCCUCACUCAGUAGAUAAAGGAUCUGAUGUUGCCGUAAGCUGUGGUGUAGGUCGCAGACGUGGUUCGGAUCCUUCUUUGCUGUGUCCCCUAGCCUGGGAACUCCCAUAUGCCACCGGUGCGGCCAUUAAAAAAAAAAAAGAAGAAGAAUUUAUAUAAAUGUAUAGCUGGGUCAUUGUGCUAUACAGCAGAAGUUGACAGAACAUUAUAAAUCAAUUAUAAUUUUAAAAAUUUAAAUAUAUAAAAAAAAUGUGUGUAAAGUACUUACUUUAGUGGUUUUUAAGUGCUCAAUAAUAUACUAAAUAGGUGUGUGUACACACACCCAUACAAACAUCUAUCUCACCAACAGGCCUGGGAGAGUUCCAUUUGUUUGAUCACUGUGUCUUAUCUCUAGUAACCGAGAUGUUUAUUAUACAAUAAAUAAGUGGCUAAAUGGAUGGAUGAUGGAUGGUGAUUUUUGCUUUGCUAAGCAUCUCCAGAACAGAAGGGCCAAUGGGAAAGAAAUGGACCUGAAAAUUAUGAUUUUGAAACAGAAGUUAGGUCAAGGACAUACCUACAGAGAAAUCGCUCAAACCUGCCACAGCGCAGGCUCUGCCAGGUUUUCGUCCUUGGUCCCCCAGGGCUUGUUCUUCAAGCGUCUUGGUGUUCUGUGUUUCUUUUCCAGACUUUUAUGGUCUUCAAAUCCCUUUCAUGAACAUAAUAUCAUUCAACCUUGGCAAUGGGUCACUAAAACAGGAAACACAAAUAGUAGGCCCCCAUCUUACCCUCAAGGAAGGGAGUUUUAGAGAAGCUGAGCAGUCUGUUCUGAUAACUAGCCAAGGGCUAGUUUCAUCAUAAGCCACGGCCUGACCAAUGUCACUAAGCAGGGAUGCAAAGAAAAACCAUGAGGAAAGAUGCUUUUCCAUUAUUAGCAAAAUUAUGGAGACUACAUCUUGGUCUUGUACAACAAGCAUGACACUUCUAGAAGGGGAGCCAGGGUUCUAACUCUAGGCCUGCUCACGGAACCUCAGAGGGGCCAAAAAAAUGAUGAUUCAGGGACCAGGCCCAGUUUAUUAGAUUCAGUGUGCCUUGGGAUGCAAAAGGAGAUGAUGGGAGUGCAGAGUGAGAGAAAAAUCAAUUUGCCAUUGACUGAAUCACCUCACUCUGCCCAUGCUCCACUACUUCACUCUCCCCACAUUUUACAGGGUCAUCAGAACAAAGUAUUCUGUGCCAUCUCUGGAUGGAGGGACAGGAAAGACGAGAAAAGAAGAGCAAUCUUUAUGAUUAUUCCACUACUCUUUGUGAGGCACCAGCUCUGUAGGCAAUUCAUUCAGAAUUUUUCAGAAGUUAGUUCAGAUGAGAAACUGCAGGAAAAAAGGGGCCAGGUUUUUAGCAAGUUUCAUUGCCCUGAUCAUUCUACUUAAAGGAGUUAUCCCUUGUCAUCACUAUUACACCGGCAGGGGUCUAAAUUCCUUCGGGCUGUUAGAACAACACGGCUUGUAAACAACAGAAAUUUAUUUCUGAUUUAAUGAAAAAUAUUUCAGCCUGUGCAUGGAAACAGCCCUGAGACCCCCCCAUUCAUAGAGUCCAUUACAAGUCAAAAACAAACAAACAAAAACUUAACAAUCUCAUUAGUCUAAUACUUUACAGUUUCCAUAACACUAAGUAUGCGUUCCAUGGUUUGUGCAAAUCUGUGAGAUAACUAUUAUUUCAGUUUUAUGGGUGAGAAAACAGAGCCUCAUAAAUGUUCAAUGAGAUCCUCAAGGUCAUACAACUGAUAAAAAGCAGAACUAGAACUAAACGGCCAAGUUCAAGUUUAGUGUUGAUUCUAUGCUUGAGGAAUACUUAAAAGUAAGGUGCUUACUUUUAUCUAGAUCUUUCCUGAUUUAUGGAUCUACAUCCUCUAAGGUAGGGUCCAGUGUAAGCUCUUUACUCUGGGGGAAGAAAUGUGGCCCAAUGGAAAGAGCUUGGGCUGAAGUCCAGACUGGAGCUGCAGGAACCAGUUAUAUAAUCUUGGACAAGUCUCGGCAUCUCUCAUCAGGCCUCCGUUUCUUCUCUCAAGUGGAUGUAAUAAUACUUGACUGUCUGCUUCACAGUGUGCCAUGAUGCUCCAAUAAAAAUAUACAUAUACAGACCUUCUGUAUAGCACAGGGAACUCUAGCCAAUAGUCUAUGAUAAUCUACAUGGGGAAAAAAUCUGAAAAAAAGAAUGGAUGUGUGUACAUGUAUAAAUGAAUCACUUUGUUGUACAGCAGAAAUGAUCACUGUAAAUCAACUGUACUUCAAUAAAACUUUAAAAAAUAAAAAACAAAACAAAACAAAAAGAUAUGAAAAGUGCCACAGAGACAUAAGCUCAACAUUACAAAUGACAGGCCUCUUGUAUCUUGGCCUCCCUGCUUGGAGAUCUGAUCAUGACGGGGUGCCAACUUCCCCUACCCCAUCUUAUAUUUCCAUCUUAUCCUGUGACUUUGCUUUUUUCCCAUAUCUGACCC
rnacentral:lncRNA from 1 species